AACGAACGCUGGCGGCAUGCCUAACACAUGCAAGUCGAACGGAACCUUCGGGUCUAUUUGCGCACGUGGGCGUGAGGCGGGGGAACCUGCCCGUAAGUUCGGAGUAACUCACCGAAAGGUGUGCUAAUACCGGAGAAUCUCCUCCGACCAAGGAUGUAUCGCCUUUGGGUGGGCCCGCGUUGGAUUAGCUGGUUGGUAGGGUAAAAGCCGACCAAGGCGACGUUCCUUAGCUGGUCUGUGAGCAUGAUAAGCUACAAUGGGAAUGCGGCCCGGCCCAGAAGGCUACGGGAGGCAGCAGUGGGGAAUAUUGGACAAUGAGCGAUAGCCUGACAAAGCCAUGCCGCGGGAGUGAUGCAGGCCUUAGGGUUGCAAAGCUCUUUUACCCGGGAUGAUAAUGACAGUACCGGGAGAAUAAGCACCGGCUAACUACGUG
rnacentral:rRNA from 1 species